AAGGGAGAGAGCUGUGGAGCUUGGUUCCGCCCAUGCUCGGAAGGAAGCGCGAGGGAGCCCCAGUGGGUGUCCCGGCACCUACUACGUGCGCGCUGCGAGAAGGGCGCCUUUGCUCUAGAACCAGGACUGAACUUGCCUAGCCGCCUUUUUCAGCCAGGGCAGCUGAGGUUUCCCUCUGUGCCUUCUACACGCAGCAAGACCGAGGUUCAGGCAGGACGGGCUCAGCUGGGACAGCCCAGUGCACCGGGAAGGAACCUCGGCGCCGCCCUCUGAGCCGCACUUCCGCGCACCCCCGGGAGAGGGCGCUGUGGCUCCCCGCCCGGGCGGCCCGGGCGCGGCUCGAGAAGACGCUCUCCCUCGGCGGCCGGAAAUCCUCCCCCAGGGCCGCCGGCUCCGCAGGAAAAACCAGGAGGGGCGGGCUGGCCGAGAGCAAAGGCAGGGGGCGACGUACCCAUUCGGAUGUGCACGCUGGCAGACGCCACGUUGCUGCCAUAGUUGAAGUCGUCCUCGAUGGAGGAGCAAGGGUAACGGGAGGCAGGAUCGGCCAUGCCGGCUACAAAACUCACAGCCUGCUCGCGGACCGAGGGCGAGAACUCUGCCUCCAAACGGCCGUUCAGCCCACAUCCGGGUGAGGCCGUCCAGACCCAACUAGCCGCUCUGCCCCGCCUAGCGAAGCCCGAGCUCAUCGAUGGCGCACUUCUCGGAGUUGAGGCGGUCUGCAGAAAAGUGCUUCGGGUUAUAGAGCAGGAGAGUGAGCCAAGUGCUUCACGUUAUAGAGCGGGAGAUCCACGCGCUCCAGUUUAUCUGAAAUCAAUUAAUUAAAUAAUUAAAUAAAUUCCCUCGGGUUUUCUUCAACAA